GGACAGGACAUUGAGAACUGUGGCACCUGCAGAGACUGUGCCUGUAUCAUAUACAGUGUGGAACAUGACUUCCGGCUUCAGGAGGGUCAGGUGACGCGAGCGUGGAAGGUCCCAGAGCAGCAGGAGUCGGAGCAGAGCUCUCCUCAGCUGGUCUUUGCUCCUCCGCACCAGCAGGACUCUCCACAGGCCCUUCAGACGGUCAAGAAGAGCCGGAGGAAGUGCUUCUGGUUCCUGUGAACUCUUUGAUAGCAGGACGUGACAUCA